rnacentral:rRNA from 1 species
CGUAGACUGGUAUUUUGCGAUCCUUUCUUCUUGGUUGGGUUCCUCGCAGCUUACUGGGCCAGCAUCGGUUUGGAUGGUAGGAUAAUGACUAAGGAAUGUGGCUCUACUUCGGUGGAGUGUUAUAGCCUUGGUUGAUACUGCCUGUCUAGACCGAGGACUGCGUCUUUUGACUAGGAUGUUGGCAUAAUGAUCUUAAGCCACCCGUCUUGAAACACGGACCAAGGAGUAUUU